rnacentral:rRNA from 1 species
GACGAACGUUGGCGGCGUGCUUAACACAUGCAAGUCGAACGGAAAGGCCCUGCUUUUGUGGGGUGCUCGAGUGGCGAACGGGUGAGUAACACGUGAGUAACCUGCCCUUGACUUUGGGAUAACUUCAGGAAACUGGGGCUAAUACCGGAUAGGAGCUCCUGCUGCAUGGUGGGGGUUGGAAAGUUUCGGCGGUUGGGGAUGGACUCGCGGCUUAUCAGCUUGUUGGUGGGGUAGUGGCUUACCAAGGCUUUGACGGGUAGCCGGCCUGAGAGGGUGACCGGCCACAUUGGGACUGAGAUACGGCCCAGACUCCUACGGGAGGCAGCAGUGGGGAAUAUUGCACAAUGGGCGGAAGCCUGAUGCAGCAACGCCGCGUGCGGGAUGACGGCCUUCGGGUUGUAAACCGCUUUCGCCUGUGACGAAGCGUGAGUGACGGUAAUGGGUAAAGAAGCACCGGCUAACUACGUGCCAGCAGCCGCGGUGAUACGUAGGGUGCGAGCGUUGUCCGGAUUUAUUGGGCGUAAAGGGCUCGUAGGUGGUUGAUCGCGUCGGAAGUGUAAUCUUGGGGCUUAACCCUGAGCGUGCUUUCGAUACGGGUUGACUUGAGGAAGGUAGGGGAGAAUGGAAUUCCUGGUGGAGCGGUGGAAUGCGCAGAUAUCAGGAGGAACACCAGUGGCGAAGGCGGUUCUCUGGGCCUUUCCUGACGCUGAGGAGCGAAAGCGUGGGGAGCGAACAGGCUUAGAUACCCUGGUAGUCCACGCUGUAAACGGUGGGUACUAGGUGUGGGGUCCAUUCCACGGGUUCCGUGCCGUAGCUAACGCUUUAAGUACCCCGCCUGGGGAGUACGGCCGCAAGGCUAAAACUCAAAGGAAUUGACGGGGCCCCGCACAAGCGGCGGAGCAUGCGGAUUAAUUCGAUGCAACGCGUAGAACCUUACCUGGGUUUGACAUGGAUCGGGAGUGCUCAGAGAUGGGUGUGCCUCUUUUGGGGUCGGUUCACAGGUGGUGCAUGGCUGUCGUCAGCUCGUGUCGUGAGAUGUUGGGUUAAGUCCCGCAACGAGCGCAACCCUUGUUCACUGUUGCCAGCACGUUAUGGUGGGGACUCAGUGGAGACCGCCGGGGUCAACUCAGAGGAAGGUGGGGAUGACGUCAAGUCAUCAUGCCCCUUAUGUCCAGGGCUUCACGCAUGCUACAAUGGCUGGUACAGAGAGUGGCGAGCCUGUGAGGGUGAGCGAAUCUCGGAAAGCCGGUCUCAGUUCGGAUUGGGGUCUGCAACUCGACCUCAUGAAGUCGGAGUCGCUAACAAUCGCAGAUCAGCAACGCUGCGGUGAAUACGUUCCCGGGGCU